rnacentral:lncRNA from 1 species
UUUGCUGUUGCUGCUGUUGGCUUACUGGUUAAUAUUGGCAUGGCAUUCUUGUUGGGUCACGACCAUGGUCACGGGCACGGUCAUGGUCACGGGCACGGUCAUGGGCACGGUCACGAGCAUGGUGAGCACAAUCAUGACCACAGUGAUGAUGGCCAUAGCCAUGAGGGUGAUGAUGGCCAUAGCCAUGAGGGUGAUGAUGGCCAUAGCCAUGAGGAUCAUGAUCAUAGCCAUGAGGAUCAUGAUCAUGCACAUAACCACAUGCUGAGUGGAGCCACUCAUCAUAAUCACCACCAUCAUGAAGGGAGCUCUGAAAACAAUGAUGAACAUCAUCAUACACACGGAGCAGAUCUUGCUGAGCCUCUGCUUAGUACUCAC